CAUGUGAAAUGCCCGGAGUGAGCCCGUUCAAGGAGAUGAACUGAGAGCGGUAUGAAGUCUUUACGCCACCAUUUGGAAAGUCACACAGGCGUUACGAAGGUGGAACUCGCCUGAAAAGUGCCACAUAGUCGCAUCUU
rnacentral:ribozyme from 13 species